GGCGUCGUGGCUGAGUGGUUAAGCGCUCGGCUUCUGAACCUGGGGUUCUGGGUUCGAAUCUCGGUGAAGACU
rnacentral:tRNA from 1 species